rnacentral:rRNA from 1 species
CCGCGGUAAUUCCAGCUCCAAUAGCGUAUAUUAAAGUUGUUGCAGUUAAAAAGCUCGUAGUUGAAUUUUGGGUCUGGCCGGGCGGUCCGCCCUCUGGGUGAGCACUGUUCCGACGCCGGGCCUAUCCUUCUGGUGAGUCGGCAUGUCCUUUAUUGGGUGUGCCGGGGAACCAGGACCAUUACCUUGAAAAAAUUAGAGUGUUCAAAGCAGGCGUAUGCUCGGAUACAUUAGCAUGGAAUAAUGAAAUAGGACGCGUGGUGCUAUUUUGUUGGUUUCUAGAACCGCCGUAAUGAUUAAUAGGGAUAGUUGGGGGCAUUAGUAUUCAAUUGUCAGAGGUGAAAUUCUUGGAUUUAUUGAAGACUAACUUCUGCGAAAGCAUUUGCCAAGGAUGUUUUCAUUAAUCAAGAACGAAAGUUAGGGGAUCGAAGACGAUCAGAUACCGUCGUAGUCUUAACCAUAAACUAUGCCGACUAGGAAUCGGGCGAUGUUAUUCUCAUGACUCGCCCGGCGCCUUAUG